CAUGAAGACUUGUCAUGAAGAGUUGUCAUGGAGGAGUUGUUAUGAAGGAGUUGUCAUGAAGGAUUGCAUGGGAGAGUUGUAAUAGAGGAGUUGUUAUGAAGGAGUUGUCAUGGUGGAGUUGUCAUGGAAGAGUUGUCAUGAAGGAGUUGUCAUGGGGGAUUGCAUGGGAGAGUUGUAAUAGAGGAGUUGACAUGGAGGAGUUGUCAUGAAGACUUGUCAUGAAGAGUUGUCAUGGAGGAGUUGUUAUGAAGGAGUUGUCAUGAAGGAGUUGUCAUGGGGGAGUUUUCAUGGGGAGUUGUCAU
ensembl:lncRNA